UACGUAGGGGGCAAGCGUUAUCCGGAAUUACUGGGCGUAAAGCGUGCGCAGGCGGUUCUCCAAGUCCGUUGUGAAAGCCCCGGGCUCAACCUGGGAAUGGCAGUGGAAACUAGGGGACUUGAAUCUGGCAGAGGGGGGUGGAAUUCCACGUGUAGCAGUGAAAUGCGUAGAGAUGUGGAGGAACGCCGAUGGCGAAGGCAGCCCCCUGGGCUGAGAUUGACGCUCAGGCACGAAGCGUGGGAGCAAACAG
rnacentral:rRNA from 1 species